GUGGUGUUAGGGGGGGUCUACAUAUUAGUAGAAAAACCAGGUAGCUCUCAUUAAAUCCAAAGGAGAAAGGACAGGGCAUAUUUUGUCCAUUAUUUAUAAGCCAAUAUAGAGCAGUAAAACUAUCUUUGACCUAUCAGAACAUGUAAGAACUAUAAUAUAUGUUACCUGUGCUAUACACACCUUCUCAUAGUAAUAUUUCAACCAACUUGUGGACAACCUCCAGGUGAGGCUGGGUUAGGCCUUUGGUUUUAGUGUAUGUGAGGGUGUAUCUAUGGUUGAUUGGUGCAUGGAACAUUAAUAGGUGGUGUUGAAUAUGCAUGACUAUAUAUGGGGAGGCCAAUGUUGAAAAGGUGUAUGGGGGGAAUCUGUUAGUGGGUUAAAGGUCAUGGAUGUGGAUUGUUGUAGCUAGUGCGAUUUUCAAAUGUAGGUGUAGAAUGGGAGUUGUAAGGAGAGGUUUUAUAGAUUGGGCUCGUAUCUGACUAAUCAGGUUCUGAGGUGCUUAUUUCGGAGUCAGUCUGGGGCGGUUUGUUUGAGGGUGAGAAUCUACCACAGCUGUGUGCGAAGGUGAGCACUGACUUCCAUAUUUUCUUGUUGGAAAAUAAUAUUUUGGUAGUGUUGGGAAUGUACCCUAUUUGUUUCACACAGUUAGAGAAUAGUAUGGAUCUGUGGUUAUCUAAUGGUGGACAUUCUAGGAAAAUGUGUUCUGUUGUCUUGGGUGGUCCGCAGCAGUGCCUACAUGAAGAACUGUCGUGUUUAGAUUUACUGUGUUUGUUAGCACCUAUCCAAGUGUGGCCUGUGAUGAAACCCGUGGUGAUGGCUGUGUCAGGUGUUAUAUGUUUGUGGGUGGUUUUGAGGGAAAUGGGUGUCAUGCCAAGGUUGCUGAGUAUAGUGGGGUUGGAUGUCUUAAAUUUGUUUUCCCAGGCUUCCCAUUGUUAGGAUGAGAGGAAGUUUAUUUUUGUUUUUUUCGAGGCCAGUUUGUAUUUGGGGUUAGUGAGAUUUGUAGCUGCUCCUAUCUUUGCUAGAGCAUCGGCUCGGCAGUUGCCCUCGAUGCCAGAGUGUCCCCUUACCCAGUGGAGUGUUAUUUUGCGUGUGGGAAGUAGGUCGUAUAAUAGUAUCUGACAUUUGUGGACAAUGGGGUGUAAGCAUCUGUGCCUUGAAAGGGUGCAUAAGAGGGAUAGGCAAUCUGAAAAAAUGCCUAUUGACAGGUUGUGAUCCAUGGUACGGAUGUCUUUUAGUGCUGUAAGUAAAGCAAAGCUUUCUGCCUGAAAUACUGUGCAGUGUUUGGAUAAGGAUAGGGAAGAUUCAAGGCAGGGGGUGGAGGGUAGGGAUGACAUUCUAAAUAUUCCUGAGCCAACACCGGAAGAGGUUUUGGAGCCAUCAGUGUAGUAUGAUAUAUCCGGGGUGGACUCCGGAAUCGGGAGGUGAGAGAGGUCACGGAGAAGGUGUGGUUGCGGGUAACUAUAAGGAGGUGGGGGGGUGUUCAACCUUAAAGGGGAGGGAAAUGGAGGGUUUGAAAAGGGAAGAGAGGAGUUUUAGCUUAUGGUCAAUAGGUAGGACUCGUAAGAGGGCAAACGAGGUGAAGGUGGGCACUGAGCGAAAUCCGUGUAUUGCAUGAAUACAGAAUUUGCGCUGAGUGGAACGUAGACGGCUUCGCCUGCUAUGGUGUCUGCUGCUUCAGCCCAAUUGGUGCUGCGUAUGAGAGUAUUGGUUCAAUAACGGAGUGGUAAAAUAAUUUUCUAGCCCUAUAACCGAAACCAUAAUAGUUGUUUGCACAGGAGCGAAGUCGGGGGAAGAGAUUGAGGAUUUUGUCGCAAAUUUUGUUGAGGUGAGGAGAGAAGGAGAAGCGAGAGUUAAAAUUUACACCUAGGAUGGUCAUGUCUUCGACGCAUGGAAUAGUGGAGUUCUGGAUGUUCUGGAAGAUUGUUGUUUUCAAGUAGAUGGGAUAAACGGUGGCAGAGGAGACUCAAAUAUUUUGCUGAAGGCAGAAAAAAGGGUAUUUGGGCGGUGGCUAGAAGUGAAAUCACCAUCUGAGUGCGGUUUGGGGACGAGUGCGAGUCUACCUAUUUUCCAAGCAAUGGGGAAGUCUCCGAGGGUUAGGCAAGAAUUGUAUAGGAGCAAAAAGAAGUCAUGGAAUGAAGAGACCAUCCACUUGGCAAAUUUGCCAGGGAUAUGGUCUGAGCCUGGUGCUUUCCUGGGUUUUAGGGAGGAGCAUGCAAUGCGUGAUUCGACUGAAGUAAAAGGUGGGUCAGGGUGGGAUAUAGGAUGAUGACAGGGUGUUGAAUAGUGGAAGUGUGCUGGUCUAGUAUCUGGGGGUGGAUUGGAGAAGGUAUUUAGUAUGGAGUUGAGGUAUUUCGGGACUGAGUGGGAGAGGAGGUUCUUUUCAAAAGAGGUGGAAGAGAGGGGGUUUGGGUUCUGGGAGCCUUUCUUAAUGAAUUUGUGUAGGCUUCCCCAUGGGUAGUUUACGAAGGACCCGCUGAACAUUCUGAAUUCCCUUCUUUUGGCUCUUUUGCAUUCUCUGUAAAACCAAGCUCUCAUAUGGAGGAAAUCUUUGUGGACCUGAUCUCUGUUGGGGGGUUGAGGGAUUUGUAUAAUCUACGAAGUUUUUUUGUUUCCCUUUUUAACUGCUGUAAAAAUGGUGACCACCGUAGCUGGGGCAGGGUGACUAGGUUUGUUGGGUAUCUGAGUAGGAUUAUCUGUGCAUGCGUCGGAGAUGGAGGUGUGUAAUUUUUCUAUUACCGUGUCUAGGUCAGAGGGUGAGGAGCUAGAGAUGAGGUUUUUGUAGAUGUCCCCUGAAGGGGAGAGGAGAGGGGAAAGAUUUCUAAAUAGAGAGCUUGAAAUGUAAGAAUUAAGAUGGAAUUUUGGUGCGGGGUGUAAUGGAGAGUGUUUUGGCAAGGUGGGGUGUGGUGCAAGAGGAGUUUGUAGUGAAAAGGAGAUGGUGAAGUGGUCAGAGAAACAGUUAUCCGUUGCCUUCCAGUCGGAGAUAUUGGUGAGGAGAUGAGAGGAGAUGGAUGUGAUGUCUAUGGAGGAAGAAUGUUUGUCAUUGGACCAGGUUAUAGUACUAUGGGUGUUACAACCUUGAGGUCGAGGGAAUCGAGAAGGAGGUUAAGGUGGGAUCCUUUGCCUCGUUGGGGACGGUUGCUCCAGCGGGUGGAGUCAGCUUUAACGUCACCAGCGAAGAUAAGGUUAGGUAGCGGAUUGGAGUGAAAAAGAUUUGUCAAGGAGGUGGUUACUGAGUUAUAGUCUGAUUUGGGACGGAUAUAGAUAGAACAAAGGGUUAGGUGUAGGUUUGGAAGGUCAAGGAUGGCAACGGUACGAUCUGUAGAUGAAAGGUUGGGUAAGAAAAGAAUUGGCAAGGAUUGAUUUAAAAUUAUCAUACAGGAGCCCAGUUUGUUCCCUUUAAUGGGAUGGUGAAGAAAGGAUGAUGGAGGAACUGGAAAAUUGCCUGGAAAUUUUCCUUUUGAUACUGGGGGUUCUUGUAUGAAGAUUAUAUCAACCUUCUCAAGACUAGCAGUGUGAAUGAUAGAAGCAAGUCAAUGGGGUGAACGACGGCAGUUAAUUUGUAAAAAUUUUAACAUAUCAAGCGCCUAUUUAAGCUGUCCUCCGCAGCCUUGAUGAUAGGGCAGGACAUUGAGUCCGCCCUGUGUUUGUUGUUGGUGGAGUUGCAUCGGAAGCAGGAGGGGGUGAUGUUGGUGUUGGGGCAAUCUGAUAUUGCAUGUGGGAGGCCGCAAUGUAAACAUUUGGGUUUGCCGUCGCACCUUUCAGGGCGAUGUCUCAGGCUACCACAUGUUAUGUAUGGGAAGGUGACCCUGGAUCUAGAGAUGGGUAGGAUCGAAUAUCCGAAAUGGAUCUUUUUCAAUUUCAGUAGCUGGGUUGAGGUGGCCUCGUCAGUCUCGAAAAUUGCGUGUGUGUUACCGUUCCUGGCAGGGAUGGUUUUGACCACCCUGCAUUUGGGGUUUUUCCCAGUAAGAGAACAUCGGAGGUUGUCCUCCAGCUCUAUUGUGUUGUAGCCUUCUGGAAUAUUGAAGAUUGUAAAGCAGGGUUGUAGUGCAGGUGAUGAAUUUAUUUUGGCGCUAUCGUCCCGAAAUCCAUGAGCCUCUUUUACUCUCAGGGAGUUCACGUAAAGUUUGCAUCCUGCUACAUAAAAGGUACAACCUGCAAAUAUCCUGCGCGCACUGGGGUUAAAAAAAAAAGACAUAGGCAACUAUGGAUUUUUGAUUAAUACUACAAUAUAUUUAUUUAUCUCUUUUGACGGUCAUAUAAAGAUAAGAAUAAAAUUAAAAAGAUAAAUAAAACGGGCAACGAGGAAACGCUGUGAGAAAUUUUACAUGAAUAUACCUAUUAAAAAUCAUUAUUAAAAAAAAAAUACCUAACUUUGUGCUUCUGUUGGAAGGCUGGAAAUCCCUCCCCAAAUCUUGUAGAACUACAUUUUUAACGAACUUCCCUAUACUAUCUUAUCUCUAAGAAGAACUGCCCUCACCAAAAACUUGCUCGUCACUAACUCUCUUCUCCCCAGGGUGACCAAAAAAAAAAAAAAAAAAAAAAAUCUUUAUCUGGUCACCCUCUGUGAAAAAAAGAAAUUUUAAAAAUAAAAAAAAUAAAAAACUAUAAUAAAAAUUAUUAUUCGAAAUAUUAAUUUUAAAAUAUUAAAAAAAAAAGGGAAACCCAAAAUAGCUGCUUAUUUAAAUAAAAAGAAAAUUUAUUGUAGUACUAUAAGUUAUUUACAAAAACUAGAAAUAAAAAAAAAGGAGGUGAAGAGAUGGGCUGGUUUUUACAAAGAAGCAUGCUCGAAGUCCUUUUCUUGGAGUCCUCUUUGUGGAGGCCCCAGAAGUGGCCUCUACAGUCCUUCCCCGCCAAGACCACGGGAUUUGGGCUUGCGAGGGAGCAGGACAAAUCUCCGGGGUCAAAAGUGGAGGUCGGGGAAUGCUCUGGCUUGCGAGGGAGCAAGACAAAUCUCCGGGGUCAAAGUGGAGGUCGGGGGGGGGGGGGGGGGGGUGCUCUGGAUUAGCGGAAACAAUACCACUGUCUAAAAAAAAAAUAAAUGUCAAAACAAAAGGGCGCCAUGCAUUGUAGAGGAUUGUAGAGGUUGGUGGCAUGUUUAGUGUGUUCGUUUACUCUUUCUUUGGUGUUGGGUGUAGGGACGGAGAUGUUAGUGGGGGUGUGUGAUUUGUUGUUGUGUAAAAAAUAUUUGUUCAUAAUCUCGUCGUAUGCUUUUUUGGUGUAGUGAAGUUCUUGUUUUCUAUGUGUUAGUGUGUGUUUGAAUGCUCUAAUGAUGCCUUCGCACGCUGCUGCAGUGUGAUCGAAUAUAGUGUUAUCGCAUUUGUGAUGCUGGAGGUUUUUGCCCAGAAUGAUAUUAGUAAGAAUAAGAGAUUCUUAUUAGAGCUAUUAUAUUACAAUCUAUAAAAUAAAAGAAGACAAGUAUCUUGUCUUCUUUUAUUUUAUAGAUUGUAAUAUAAUGAUAUUAGUGUUGCGAGCCCAAUCUAUUAUGUCAUCGUUAGUCAUGGUAUUGAGUUGUUCAGUAUCUGGUAAUUCAGGAUAUUUAAAAACUUCAGAUAAGACGUGGGUAGGAUGGUUUAUGGGUGUUGUACAGUAUGUGUUAUGGGUGGGCGUAGCGUUUAUAUUGUCCAUAGUUGUUAGUUGAGGGGUAUUUAGGGUAAACAGGGGGGAUUGACUGAGGGCGGUAUAUAACCCGCUCCUUAGUUGCAUGUGUAAACAGUUGUAUAAACAAUUUUAGUGUGACUAAAAAAUGUAUCAAUAUUUUAAAGAGGCUAGGUUGAAUGUUUGGUUAGAUACUAACAAAGAGAAAAAAAUAAAAUAAAAAUAAACCUUUGGCGGCCGUCCGGGAGAGCCUAAAAGGCAGUAGUGACCUUGUAUUCUUCAGUUUUGGGAGGUUGGUAGUGGUAUGGCUAGUAGGGGGCAGUAGAACCAGUAGGGUAGCAGUAGAGCCAGGGAAGCAUUCAGAAAAUCCGCCGCGUUCAUAGUUGAGAAUAUCCAAGAGUAAUCCAAGAGUGUAGGUGUGCACUGCUCGGUGGCCAGGGACGUGAAUGAUGAUUCACGCUCGUUGGCGUGGAAGUGUUAAAUGGCCGAGUGCGGCCGCCCUGGAGAUCCCGCAUUUUGAUUGGCUGCGGGCGGAAAAAAUCCGGGAGGAUAAAUGGCGUUUGGCGGCCGUCCAAGAGAUCCGGGGAAUUAAAUAAUUUUUAUCCUCGUCUGGUUUCUUGGUGAAUUGGGGCUGGGCGUCCAAGGAUGUAUCCUUGUAGGACCGUUGGGGAACAGGAGCACAGGAGACCAGGGGCACUAUAGAGAAAUUCCUAUUUAGCUUCGGCAUAGGUGGGCAGGGAGAGGAUGUUUGCAAUUUUUGUUCAAGGAGAUGAGUGAGGAGGUUUGUGGAGUUGUAGGCCUCGAGGAGGCGUUGUUGGUGUAUUUUCGAGAUGUGUGCGAAAUUUUUUUUAGAGCAAAGCGGAAACCAUCAGCAAGGGUGGGGUCAACAGAGUCAGCAUAAGGGGCAAGGAUGUGAUAGACCCAGUUUAGAUGUAGGAGGUGUGAGGGGUUGUUGGUUGGGAACAUGUCACAUGUGGGUGGAGGUGAGUCAAGGGUGUAGUGUUGUUGAGGUGGUUGGCGUAGGUGGAGUGGUGUGUGUACAUGUGUGGAUGAGGUAGGGUGAAGAAGGGUGGAGGAGCUCACCCCUGGUCGACUGCCAAGGUCCAGAUUCCCGCCGAUGGUAGGGUCGAGCAGGGAGUUGAACAUGCUCGGGUGGACAAGCUUCGCGUGUCUGAAAGAGGUGCGAAAUCUAUUAUAUAAUUUCUUAUAAAAUAUCUUUAACACGCUUCUAACAGGCUCACAAGCUUUUCUCCACGCCCUUUCAACUUUUUGAGUAGCCCUUUGGAGCGGAUUUAGUUCAGGUUUCCACCAAGUGGGUUUCUUAAAAUAAAAAAUAUUGGUGGAAAGUUUAGAGGGAAUGGUUUGAAGACAGGAGUGAAUCACCUCGUCUUCUAGUAAAUUAAUUACUUCAUCAACUUGAGUUGUGUCACUCGCGUCCAGUAAGGAGGAGAUUCUAGACAUUUUUUUAUUAAAGUGAGGAAAAAAAUCCCAGUCGGCGCGACCAAAGCUGAAGUGUACUUCGCUAAAGUUGUUUACGUGUAUGUCGUUAUUGCUGUUAGAAGAGGGGGGUUCAAAAUUAACGUUAAACUUGAGGCGUUUAUGGUCAGAUAAAGCCUGGUUGAUUGCAUUCCAAUCGGCGAUCCCUUCCGCGAGGCCAGCAGAACAACACGUGACGUCGAUGGAGGAGGACCUCUCGCCCUCCUUCCACGUGAUCGUGCCGUGUUUGUUGACAACGUGGAGCAAGUUAGCGUCAAGGAAGUUUUCGACAAUUUCUCUUUUAGAGCAUUUGUAUUUAAGCAACCGCGCUUUAUUUGACCAUCUAUAGGAUUCAAUAUUAAAGUCGCCGCAGGGAGGAGUAGAACCGGUAGUACUUGGUUCAGCACCACAAUAGCCGCACUGCAUUUGUUGUUAGAAAUGGGGGCAUGCAAGAUAGAGGAAGGUGGAAUAGGGUGGGCAGACGGAAGUCGGUUGUUUGAAACAGGAAGUUCUUGCAGCAGUAGGAUAUCUACGGCUUUAGAAGAAGCUUCCUGGAGAAUGGAAUGGAAACAUGCAAAUGAACGAUUGCAAUUUAAUUGCAAAAAAAGAGAUUAGCAUGUGUGUUGAACCAAGUUAUGGAAACUCUCCUCCACCAUUCGUAUGACCGGACAGGCAAAUGAGUCUGCCCUGUGACCAUUCUGAUCCGGCUUGCAGCGGAAACAACUGGGGCUAGCACCAGUUGUGGGACAGUCCGCAAUCUUGUGGGCAAGCCCACAAUGAAGGCAACGCACCGGGCCAGAACAAGAAUUGGUCCUGUGCCUGAGACUACCACAGGACCUGCAGGGGAAGGUAGCCCUAGUCCUGUCAAUGGACAGAGAAGAGAAUCCGAAAUAGAUUCUCUUUUUGCCCUCCAGAGCGGUGGCAACGAUGUUUUUGGUCUCAAACACCGCAUGGACCCGACCGUUCCGCGCUGAGAUAGUUCGGAUGAGUCGGCAGUCAGUAUCCUGACAUUCGACCGACCGGACAAACAUGGUGGUAAGAUCCUCCUCAUUGGUAAUGUCAAGUACAUUAAGAUGGUGAAGCGAUGGUGGAAAGAGGGAGGUGUAGAUAUUUUGAUAUUUGUAUUUUUGGUAAGGUCCACCAGUUUACGGUGCAGUUUAGUAAAAUCCUCUUUUGACCUAGUGUGUAUGGUAAUUUUAUACCUGGAAGUAUUUAUAUGGGACCCAGGAACCCCCAAAGCGGAGAAAGAAGACAUAUUAGAAAGCCUAAGGCUAAGAGGCUGAGCCUCCUUGGGGUCCUGUGUGAUAGUAAGGUGAAACGGGUUAUUGGUCAAAGUAAACAUGGGGUGGUCUUUGGUUGGGUAGGGACAGGUCCCCGACUAGCUGAGGGGGCUGAGCUAGCAGGUUGCACAGAAGGACGGCUUGAGGCCAUGGCAGAGUACGAAAGGGGAGCGGCAGUAGCGGAAGUGUCAACAGGGGUGGCAAGUGUACUUAUGGUAGAGAUACCAGGCUCAGCAAGAGUGGCUGAGGUGGCAUCAACAACAACAUGUGGGUGGGCAAAUUGCUGCUGUUUUGAUUGGGAAGCCAUCUGUAAUAAGAGUCCAGAGGAAAAAUCCAAUUCAGAGAUACAACGUUCAUAGUCGGCCCUAAGAUGUAAAAGAAUUUCCUUAAGUUCAGAAAGAACUGAGGAACCAAGUUCAGCAGAAAAUUCAGAAAUGGAAUUAGAGAUAGUCUUAAUUGAGAUGGCUGCCCAAUCAAAAAUAUCAAAACAAUUGCUAGAAGUAGUACAUUUAGAAAAGGCCACAAAAUUAGGUGGCGGCUCCAAGGAAAUGGUAGGCAAAGGAAAGUCCUCAAUGUCAACAAUAGUAUUAGGUUGGUAAGAAUGGGAGGAAGAAAAAGAUUCAGAUUCAGAAGGAGAGGGAGAAAGAGAGCGAGAUUGAGAUGAACUCACAGGUUUUAGGUUAUCCGGGUCCAGAGUAAGGCGCUGAGUGGCGUUGCGCAUAUGAUCUGGGGAGUAAGUCAGCUGAGGGUCUUGGCCGGCGGGAAGGGUCUCGGUAGGGCCCGCGGCGCAGUCAGCGGCGGCGCACGGGGUGUCUUAGGCCUAGUCGACCGUCCGCUGCAGAGCUUCCGCUCGGUGGGACAUCGCCGCGGAGGUAGGGAAGGCGGGCGGGGGCUUGGUAAAAGAGCUGUCUUCACGGCAAAAACUUGAAAAAAGUAAAAAUAGCCGCGAAAUUUCGGCCGUUCAGGAGAGCUCGAAUUUUCUGAUUGGCGGACACUCGAAAAAAUAGCGGAAUUUGCGGCCGCUGCGGAGAGCACGAAUUUUCCAAUUGGCAGCGGGAGAUGGCGGCCGUCACAGAGAUGACCGACGACGGGAGCGAUGUGUACUCGGCGCACCCCACGCUCUGACUGACAAUGGUUAUAGCUAAUUGACCAAAUGGGAUGGCCUUCUAGCUCUACUACUGGCUGAAAUGAAUCAGUCUGACUACGGCAAAUCAGCGUGCGGCGUCCAAUUUCAACCGCGGCCCUCUAACCCUUGGGUGAUUAGAGAUGGCGCUUGGUGAAAUCCUGUCCACAAGCCAGCUGGCAAAUUACAAGUUUGACAUCGCAAUAUCCCCCGCGACAACACCCAAGGAACCACCAAGCCCGCCACCCAACGCAACGCAAGCAGGGGCGGCGCGAGACGCAUCUCCAACCCCAUCCGCGAAGAGACACGAGGCGCCCCCAAGGCGCCCCUGGAGAGUGUGAAACGUGCUGAUGCUGUAAGAACAUAGGUGAGUAUCCCUGGGUCAGAGGGAAAGAGAGGAAGAGGUUUCAAGUUAAGAAAGGUGAGCAAUUGUGAAAAGGUUGAUUUAAAAAAAAAAGAGAAAGAAUUACUAAUAAUAAUAAAAUAAAAAUAAAAAUGGCAAUAAUUGAAUAAAUAAAUAAGGAGAUAAGUGAGAAUAGUAGAAAAAUUAAAGUAAUAGUAUUAUUAAUAAUAAAAUUAAGUAAGAUUAGAAAAAGAAAGAAUAAAAAUAUUUUAAUAAUAAUAGUAAGAAUAAAAUAAAGAAUUAAAGAAGGAAAAAGAUUUAGAAGAGGACAGGAUAGAAAAAAUGGAUAUAUAGAGAAGAGCACACAGCGCCUGGGGAUGUUGGUGUAGAACAAAAAAAAAGGACCUUAUCAAAGGAGCCAGAAAAUUUUUUCUUUUGAGGAGAAAGUAAUUUCAGAGUACAAAAUCUGGAAGUACUAAAUCGCAUCUUUUGCCAACCAAUGAAAAUGAGCGGCCGCCAGACCACAAAACCCCCGGUUGUGACGUCGCGCGAUUAAUCGACCAAUCAGCGUGCAGCGUCCAAUUUCAACCGCGGCCCUCUAACCCUUGGGUGAUUAGAGACGGCGCUUGGUGAAAUCCCGUCCACAAGCAAGCUGGCAAAUUAAGUUUGACAUCGCAUACAUAAUUAGUGAUACAUGCAUAUGCAGGUAAAACACUGAUGUAAAGUUUAGGUGGAAUUAGAGUCGGGAAUCUCCUCUGAUUCCACCUCUCGGAUCCGCGGUCUCAGCCUGUCGCAAGCCAGGAGAAAAUCGAUACAGGCUCGCCAGGUUAAACAACUGUGGGUGAAGUCGUGAAGCGCCCUCGGCGUGUAACCGAGUUCCCUCCCCGCUAUAAAAAAUAGACGAGUUCUGAGGGAGUCCAGACUGUCAAACUCGAGCAUGAUUUCGCGAGCACAUCAGCUACUUCAUUACCAAAAAUCCCGCUGUGGCCUUUGAUCCAAUGUAUGGUACAUCUGUUCCCAUUGCGGUUCAGUUGUGAAAUCAGCAACAAGGCUCUGUUGACCAGGAGGUUGCCAGUUCUGGAGUUUAGAGCAGAUUUCACAACUGAGAGGUUAUCCGGGAGAAUUUCAAUGGUGUAAUUGUCGGGAAGCUUUGAAGCGUCCUCAAGUGCCUUAAGCAAGCCAAGUGCCUCCGCUUGGAAGACAGAACAGUACGGGGACAGGACAAAGCUUUCACGCAGUUCAUUCAUGGAGCCAUUCUCACACACUCUAUAUAGGCCUGUGCCAACUCCAGUUUUCGUCUUGGAACCAUCUGUGUAGUAGGUGACGUCAGCCGAAAGAUCAGGAAUAUUAAUGGGAGCGGAGUAAUAGGGAGGAUAGGGAAGCAGGUGAGGGCAGGGGGGAGGCUCGACUGGAAAAUCAGCGUCAACAAAACUGCUUUUUAAAAUACAAUUCCGCCUUAGCGCCAACAUCCAGAUCGAGAGGAAGAACACGUGAAAGAGAUAUAAGAGAGCUAUUGGGAGUAGAUUUAAAACGCGCGGCAAGUCCUGAUGAGGAACGGGCGCUGCGCGCUUAAGAGAGUAUUUAAAGAGCGUUGUUUAAGAUUAGGAAACCACACAGGAGAAGCGUAAGAGAUGGCUGGGACCACGACCUGUAGAUAGAGCAUCCUCAGGGCACGGAAACCAAAGCCAAAAUUGGAGUUGGCGGCUGCUGUCAAACGCGGGAGAAAUCCGCGGACUCUGGUGCAAACCUCAACCACAUUGUUGUGUUGUGCCCGUUGUUUUGUCAAUAAUCCACUCUGAGUCGUCGGAGCUCCCUUGGUACCGGUUUUAUUUAUAACCAGUGGCCGGAACAUAAAGGGAAUACCACACACAGCUGGACGCGGAGUUAGUCCUCCCUCCAGCCGACACCAAAACAAACUGGCGAGAUCCAGUUUCGGCUGGUUCCCGCCGUCACCUCGGCGCCGCUCGGCGCUUGAAAAUUCUUGCCUGAACCCUCAACAUCUCCCCCAAAAAGUUUAGAGGAGGUUAGCGCUGGACACGAUUGUAUCUUCUCCCAUACCGCGACACUUUCCCAGGUGAGGGAGACAGCUGCUUUAUCUCUGGAGCGAUUGCUGGCAGCUGUUGUUGCUCCUCUGCAGGCAGUUCAUUUCCCGGAGUUUCCUCCGUUUCAGCAGGGAGUUCACUGUCAGGAGAUGUCUCACUGGGGUCGACCUGUUGUUGGGAAGAAGCCAGAAGAAGAGAGUUCCGCCUGUAGGUCCCUACAGGAGUUUCCACGAUGUAUGAGCGAAGUGCUGAAGCCUUCUCAAGGACACUUCCCCACGCUCGAAGAUCCUUCACCCAAACUUUCUCUCCUGCAAUUAGUUCCGCCUUUUUUGUGGCCUCAUGGCGUCUGUCAAAAGCCGUUUCAUAUUCAUAUAGCCGUUUUCAUAAGUCCGUUUGCCAGGGGUGUUGCCCGAUACUCCAUGAGUGCUAGGACCGGAUCUUUAUUCUUUUUCAUCAGGUUUUUCACAAUUUUGACAGCAGCCUCUGCUUGACCAUUUGAUUGUGGAUGCUUUGGGCUGGAAGUGAUGUGUCGAAACCCAACUUCAGAGGCAAACUUCGUAAAAGCUGAAGUUGUUGAUGGGCGAAAUUGUGGUCCGUUAUCACUGAUUACAAUGUCAGGGAUGCCAUGACGAGCAAAGAUAGCUUUGCAGUGAUCUACCACAGCUUCCGAGGAAAGUUUAGUAAGUCGUACGACCUCGAUAAAUCGAGAAAAGUAGUCUACGACGACUAAAUACUCACUUCCCUCGUAAUGGAAGAGAUCCAUCCCGACCUUUUGCCACGGUCUUUCCGGAAAGUCGUUGGGGAUGAGUGGUUCGUGCUUUAGAGGUUGAUUCUCUAUGCAUUUCUCACAGGUUUUUACCAUAUCCUGGAUUUCUUGACCUAUUCCUGGCCACCAAACAUGAUCCUUUGCUCUUGCUCGACAUUUUGUUAUUCUUGAUGACCUGCGUGGACGCGGUUCAAAACAUCUUUUCGCAUGUUAGAGGGGAUGAUCACUCGCAGUCCUCUCAUUAGUAAGCCGUUCUCUUCCCCUAUCUCGUCGCGAACAUCGUAGAACGAGCGUUCUAAGGGAGAGAGCUGACAUUUGGCGGGCCAACCGUUUUUGGAAUAAAAUGCCACAUUUUGAAGGGUAGGCUCCAGCUUCUGGUUUGAGGCACCAGUCUCUUCGGAGGCGUGGGUUCGGAUCCCACCGCUGCCACCAUGUUGUGUUGUGCCCGUUGUUUUGUCAAUAAUCCACUCUGAGUCGUCGGAGCUCCCUUGGUACCGGUUUUAUUUAUAACCAGUGCCGGAACAUAGAGGGAAUACACACACAGCUAGACGCGGAGUUAGUCCUCCCUCCAGCCGACACCAAAACAAACUGGCGAGAUCCAGUUUCGGCCGGUUCCCGCCGUCACCUCGGCGCCGCUCGGCGCUUGAGAAUUCUUGCCUGAACCCUCAACACACAUGCUGGUGGAAGGUGAGACGCCGAUCAAACCUUACUCCCAGCACUUUGAUUGAGUUGCUCCAUUGAAUGGGUUGACCAUUAAUGGUUAGAUCGCAGCUAGGUAUAAGUAGCCUGCCAGUACGUCUUAGAAGGAGCAUGGCCUGACACUUCCUCACGCUGAGUUCCAGUUUAUGCAGGCCACACCACCUCGUGAUCUCAUUAAUGGCAAGUUGCGCCGCUCCAAGUUGCUGAGUAACUUGGCCCGACACCACCAUAACAAGUUCGUCGGCGUAGGCCUGCGGGUGUACACAUUUUUUAAAAUUGAGCGUGAGGAGCUCGUCAAAGACAAGGUUCCAAAGAAACGGCCCAAGAACUGACCCCUGCGGGCAGCCUUUGGAAACCUGCCUCGUGACCGUGCAACCAUUCAUAGACAGUCUGACAACACAGUUAUUAAGGAAGGAGCGAAUCAGGACAAACAGGUUUUUAGGACAAUCAUUCAUACACAGAGCUCGCAAUAUGCUGGAGUGUAGCACAUUGUCAAAAGCGCCUUUCACAUCAAAGGAAAGAAGAAUAGAAGAUUUUCUAUGUUGAAGCGACCGGGAGAGAUUAUUUUUUAAAUUUAGAAGUGCGGCGACAGUAGAUCUGCAAGGCCUGAAACCGAACUGGUUUGGCUGGGCUUUACACAUCCUCUCAGCUCGCCACGAGAGCCUGGCCAGGAUAAGACGCUCUAGAAUUUUACCUAAGCCAGGCAGCAUCGUGAUGGCCGAUGAGACACGAGAAAGUCCUCACCACCUUUUUUGGGAAUGAGUAUGACAUCACCCAGUUUCCAAGGGGUUGGAAAGUGUCCAGUUUCAAAGCACUUAUUAAAGAUCUUUAAAAAGAACGUCGGGAAUUUUUUAAUUAAUUUAACAAUGAGAAGAGGUGGCAUACCAUCACUGCCAGGAGCAGAAGUAAGGCUAACCUUAUCCGCAGCCAGUAGCAGUUCUAUUUCUGAGAACGGUGGGUCGUUAUCAGAGGUGGACUGCACGGCUUUAUGUAAGUUAACAUGCUCUACUGUUAUAUCGGGUGGGACGCGGCCGAAGUAAUGUUUUAAUACAUGUUCUAGAGUGGUCCCGCGGACUGUCAGUGAGAUCAUCGCCAACCAGAAUAGAGGAAAGAGGCUUCCUCUUGGUGGAGCCUUUAAUAAAUUUAUAAACGCCGCCCCAGGGGUUAACCUCACAAAGCGAACAGAUCCUUCUCCAUUCAGCAGACUUCGCGACAUUCAUUCAACAAUGAGUACAAACAAUAUGGAGAGCAUCUUACAUUGGCUUGAACACACUUAAGAACGUUCAUUUUACCCACAAUUUAUUGAAAUUGUCCUGUGCCUCCCGCAUGUGUUUUACACCCAUGGAGUUGGUACUGUGUUUGUCACCACACCUGUGACAUUUCAAAAGUUGUUUUAUUUUCACAUGUUUCGGAAAGAUGUGCACCAGCGCAGUGGCUACAUUUAGCCGCCCUAGUGCACUUCUUUCCGUUGGUGUGGGUUUUGUGACUUAAGCUGCCACAGACACCACAUGGGAAGACGCUCUUUGCUCUACCGAGUCUCAGCGAGUGGAAGUCGAUCGUGAUCCUACCACGCUCGAGUAAGACAGUCUCAACAUCCUUGUUAACCUCAACUAUCGCGGUGGAGGUGGCAUUCUCUUUUUAAAUUAAUUUUACCAUCUUUAUGUUUUCGCCGCUUUUCAGCAGCGGUACAACUGCGGGAUGGCUACUGAUAUCAGCCACAAGUUGCUCUUCAGUUUUCUCUCCGGGAAUACCAAAGAUGGCAAGCCUGGGCUUGAAUGUGGGGGUUUGUUUGGACUUUAAGUCCACCAAUGUUGGCGGACUUAAUGUUGUCCACAAACCUCAUUUCUCAGAGGGGUGGCGAAGUGGGAGGACAAGUUUUUUGUCCCCCCCUGUCACCGCGGCUACAUCACAGUUUUUCAGACUGGGAGUCUGGGCGAUUUUCUCUCUAAUUUCGCUAACAGUGAGGUCCGCGGAAGCGAGCUUCACGUGAUUAAUGCUGUUACGCAGCAUGUGCGCGUAACUGGGUUUGGUUGGAAUGGCAGGCUUAGCACCUGCAUUGGUUGGCUGGGUGACUUUUGUCACCGCUGGGGUUGGUUUGGGAGGAGGUGUGGGAGCGACGGUUGUUGUUUUUUUCUUUAAGGCUGAUAGUUCAGCCCUGAUUUCUGCGACUUUAAGGUCGCAGCACUUCAGCUUAUGCUGGAGGAUCCCCACAGCAGUGUUUUGGAGAUCGGAGAGCAGACCAUCCAUAUUUCGAAAGAAACACCUAUUAGAUGGGGAGCCUAGGUCCCCGCUAAUCCUUGCCCCAACCUCAUGUUGAAAGAUUUCACGGAAGCCUUGAAAGAUGUGUUAAUUUCUUCCCACCCUUCCCUAAAUGCCGUGUUAGAGUUAAUAGGAGUUAAGGGAGGAGGAGAAGAAGGAGUGACCCGGGGAAACUCACCCAGAGUUGGGGCAGAAGAAGCGGAGGUAUCCGCCGCCAUAGCUGAAUAAUCCAAGAGAGUAAUCCACGCGAAAUAGUAGAAAGAGCAAUCCAAGAGCAAGAGUGUUCCAGGGAUGGUGUGCACAGUUUGGAGUCAGGGACGCGAAUCUGAGCGAUGGAGGCGCCCCACGCUCGUUGGCGUGUUGAAUUAUAUCUCCCUCCGCUGUAAGCUUUCGGAUCAAGCUUUUUCGGAGAACAUACGCUGGACAACACAAGGUAAACCGCCAGCCGCAGCUGGAAGGCAGAAUUUGGUAGGCCCGGAAGGCUGUGAGGGCACCGACACAGGGAAGUGGAAGCCGGAGAGAGUUGGCUAAGGGUCGUGGCUGAGGGGAAAAGGCUGUGCCAAGUACAACCAAGUACAGGCGGCAAGUAAAUCUGCUGAAAACUUUAUUGAUUAGUCACAAUCAAGUACAGGAGGGGAAGUAAAUAGGAUCAUGGGUACAAGUGGCUAUUUACAAGCAGUAGGGGUGGGAAACAAUGGGAGGUAGGUGGAAAAGAUGGCAAGUGAGCAUGAUGAUGAAGGGGUUACAAGGUUGGGUUGGCACAUGGGGUUCCAGGAGGAUAUUUACAGGGAGACAGAAAGGGGGAUUAGGUAAAAGUUACAAAGAGUCAUCAGAGGAUGGACAAUUCUCAGGCACGAAUCUACCACAGUUGUUGCCAAGAGAGAGCUGAUGUGGCAAAAUCAGAGAGGGUGGUUGGAAUCCUACCGGUAAUGGACAGGCAGGAAUGAAACAAGGUAGCCCUGAGGUCGUCAAGGUGGGGACAGUUGAAAAAGAUAUGGUCUACUGUUUCCGGAGCAAGAUGGCAGUCAGGGCACGUGACAUCACGCAAGAGGUCCCUCCUCCUAUACUUGUAGGAUCCAAUGAAGGAGUGGCCGGUGAGAAAACCUGUGAUGAUUUGUGAUGAGGGGUGUAUAUACUUAUGUUCGUUGAGGAGCGAAAGAGGGGAGAUUUUGAAGACCUGAAAGAUGGUGGGGUUUUUGUCACGGAAUUCAAUAUCCCAGCGGUCCCAGAAGCUGCGCGAGGUGAACCUGUGCAGGUGGUUUUGGGAAGCCAAGGUAUAUAGUGGGGGCGAUGAUGAAUCUGCGGCGGCGGAGCGUGCCAGCUGAUCGGCUAGACAAUUACCCGAAAAUCCCUGCAUGGCCUUUGACCCAGUGUAGGGUGAUAGAUCUAGGGGGAGGAGGGAAAAGAGCAACCUCUGUAUCUUGAACACCAAAGGAAACCUUGUAUCGAGGUUGGAGAUGGCGUGUAGAAGGGAAAGGCAGUCCAAGAAGAUCCCAACCGAGAGGUUAGGAGGAAGGGGUGGAGGCGUCCCGUAGCGCCGUGAGGAGGGCAAAGCUUUCGGCCUGAAACACUGCCGCAGGUGAGUGGCAAGAUGUAGGGAGAGGGACAAAGGUGGAAUCCCAAGGGAGGAAGAGGAAAUUCUGGCGACGCCUGAACCAACCCCCUCUUUGGUUUGGAGCCAUCGUGAAUGUAUAGUCGUCGGCGGGCGUGAAACCCGAGGCCUGAGCGGGCGUUGCAGCAUCCCUUGAGGCGGCCUAGAAUGGACAGGGGCAACGGUCGCAUACCCAUUGGAGGUGGGAGUCGAAGGUGAACCUGUCAUUGAAGACCACCCCGAGGGCCCUUAGCCUAUCCGUCCAUGGGAGAACAGUGUCCUGUAGAGUCAGAGAGGGAGGGUUAGUAAAGAUAGGGAGGACCUCACAUUUGUGAGGAGUGAGGGUCAGCUUAUUGCCCAGACACCAGUCGGAGACGAGAUCGAUGGAGAGCUGGGCGCGGGAGGUCAGAAUGCCUGGGGGACCUGACACUACGAUCUGAAGGUCGUCCGCGAAUACCUGUAUAUGAACGCCGGGUGGGUAGGGAAGGGAUAGGACAGGGUUGAAGGCAAUGUUCCAGACGUGGGGGCCACUCCUAGAUCCCUGGGGGCACCCUCGGGAGGGAAGCAUAGAAAAAGAGCAGUUUUUGUAAGAAAGGGUGACUAUGGUCACUGAGGAAGGAGUGGUAAAGGGCCUGGAGGGUGGGGUGAGCUGAGUAAGGAAGGACGGGUGCCAUAGGUGGUCAAAGGCCGACUUGAUGUCGAGACUGAUGAGGAGGGCGCAUUGGUGGGAACGUAUAGACUCCGAAACUUUGGUCUUGAGUAGGGCGAGAGUGUCCGCAGCACUUCUCCCUUUCCUGAAACCAAACUGAUUGGGGUGGAGGAGACCGUUGGAUUCAAAGUGGUGCGAUAGUCUAAAGGAGAGCAUGCUCUCGAGGGUUUUACCCAGGAUAGGGAGAAGCACUAUCGGGGCGGUUUUGGGAGGUGAAAUCCUCAGCACUCAAUUUCUUGGGGACCAGUACAACUCGUCCUACUUUCCAGAGCUUGGGGAAGUGGCAAAGAGAAAAGCAUUUGUUAAAGAGGUUGAAGAAAAAGGUGGAGAAGGAGGAAAGUAGCCAUUUGGCGAAUUGACCGGGCAUCAAGUCAGGACCAUGGGACUUUUUAGGGUUGAGGGCCCGUAGAGCAAGGUGGAAUUCUAGAGUAGAAAAAGGGAGAUCAGGUGGGGGAGGGGUAGAGGGAAUAGGGGGGGAGGGAAGGAAGUGAGAUGGGCGGGAAUUUGGAGGAGGCUCUGAAAAGUAGACGUCCAAGACGCUCGUUGGCGUCUCUACUAUUAUUCCGCCUUCUACAUGCAUGAAUGGGAGCAUUCUAAGGCUCAAAAAUAUUAAGCUGGAUGGGAUUCCGGUCUCUGAAAAUGACAGGCCGCGCAUUGGGGUUGGAGAGGCGUAGGCAGUGCAAGUAAGCGCCCCGGGGGAGAAGAUGCCUAGGGUGUGGCUAUGGAGGGCAACAAGAUUAGUGCUGGGCGCAGCGUCAGGUUCCAUAUGGCCAUCCAGGAGGGGUCUUCUAUGGAGGUGUAGGUCAGUUCUUGGUCCGGUGGUCCAGGAGGAGUGCUGAAAUAAGACCGUCCAGAGCGUCCCUAUGCCCAAGAAGACCGAGGAGAAGCAAAUCCAUCCCGCAAAUCUUCUUUUAUUAUUUCUAAUUUUAUUUCUGGUGCACACAUUACAAUUAACAAGGGGGAGGUACAUAUUGGGGCAAACAACGAAGUAUACAUAUAGGUAAAAAUUAGGCGAGAGGAAGAUGGGGAGAUAUAUUUACAAAGUAAGGAGUAUUAAAGGGAAGCCGCGGAUUGCGUUGAUACAGAAUUUCCUCUGAAUAGACCGGAGGUUUGAUUUACCAAUGCGGAGUUUAGCCGCCUCGCUCCAGAUGGGGGCGGCGUACGUGAUGGCAGAUUCGACCACUCCGAGGUAGAAUCGUCUCCUGGCAACAAAUCCGAAUCCGGAAACUGAAUUUGAGCAUUGACGGACCCUGCCUAGAAGGGAGGAGGCCUUCCUCGCAAACCCUGUGGAGGUGAGGUGUAAAACUAAGUCGGUCGUCGAAGGUGACCCCAAGGAUAGUAAGGGUAUUGGGACAGGAGAGGGGUGUGCCAUUGAUAAGAAGUUGGGGCGGGUUACAAAAGAUAGGAAGCACGAGAGAUUUAUGGGGGGUAAGAGAGAGCUUAUUAUCAAGGCACCAGGAGUGAAUAAGGUCAAGAGCAGAUUGAGCGAGGGAGGGAAGGUGAAGUGAAGGACCGGAGACGAGGAUUUGAAUGUCGUCGGCGAACGCUUGCACAUGGACACCAGGAGGGAAAGGAAGAGAUAGGAGGGGAUUGAAAAAGAUGUUCCAAAGGAGAGGCCCGCUGACAGAGCCUUGUGCGCAGCCUCUCAAGGGGGAGGUGGAGCGGGAGUAUCCUCGGUAGGAAAAGUGAAUUGAACGGUUGGAAAGGAAGGAGCGGUAGAGUUGAAGUAGGGUGGGGGGGGCAAGAGGCAGCCUCGAGUCGGCCGAAUAGGGCAGGGUGCCAGAGGUGUUCAAAUGCGGAUUUGAUAUCCAGGCUGAUGAGGAGGCAGCAUUGAAAGCGGGAGAUGGCUCGUCUGAUAUGGGUGCGUAGGAGGGAGAGAGCAUCGGUGGUGGAGCGUCUCCGCGGAAGCCGAAUUGCAGGGGGUGGAGUAGGCCGUUACUCUCGAAGUUAUGAGAGAGCCGGAAAGCCAUGAGGCUCUCGAGCAGCUUUCCGAGGAUGGGGAGGAGGACAAUGGGGCGGCAUUUGCUAUUGAAGUCGUCCGAGUCUGUUUUUUUGGGGAGUAGGACGAGGCGACCGACUUUCCAGAGGGAAGGGAAGUGUCUUAAGGAAAAGCAGGUGUUGAAUAAGUUCAGGAAAAAGUUGGGGAAGGAGUCAACGAGCCAUUUAGAGAAGGGACCAGGGAGGAAGUCGAGGCCGUAGGACCUCUUAAGGCGAAGGCGGCGGAGGGCCAGGGAGAGUUCUAUGGCUGUAAAAGGGGGGUCAGAGGGGGGGUUAGGGGGGUUGAGAGGGUAAGGGGAGAGGUGGAAGGGGCAUGAGUCGGGGGGGGGGGGAGGGUUGAAGAAGAAGUCUAGGGUGGUUUGGAGACGGUCCCUAAUGGAGUAGUGAAGGAGAGAUUUUUGAAAACUGUUGGAGGAGAGAGGAAGAGAGCGGGAGGAGCCUCGAGUGAUGAAGCGGUGGAUGGUCCCCCAGGGGUUGUGCGUAAAGGAGGAGCAGACCAUUCGGAAGUGUCUCCUUUUGGCUUUAAAUAGAGCUCGGACAUAUUCUUUCUUUGCCUGAAGGGCCUGAUCUUUAAGAAUAGCACGCUGGGGAGGAGAGCUGUUCUGGAAGGAUUGCCGGAGUUUCCGGGAAAAGGACUUCAGGGACUGAAGCUGGGGGGACCACCAGGGGACAGGAGGGGGGUAGUUAGAUUUGGAAGGGCGGGUGCGGAGGUGGCUGGAACAGUUGAUAAAGAGGAUGGAAUAAAAAGAUCGUAGCAAGGAGUCAAGAGAUUCAGGAGAGGAGCAGUUACUCAGGGUGGAAAUAAGGUGGCCGGAGUUGGUGAAGUGCCUUGCCAGGGAGUUAAAGAGGACCAGGGGGGGCUGGGCUUGGAAAUGGAGGGGAGAGAAGUCUGGGAAUGGGGAUGGGGGAGGAGGAGGGGUUGAAGGAAGAGUAAGAGGGGGGCAGGGGAGGGAGAAACGGAUCUCGAAGUGAUCUGAAAGAUUAAAGGGAUUGGAGGACCAGUCAGAAAUGGAAGGUCUGAGGGCAGAGGAGAUGCUGGAGAUGUCAAUGGAGGAGGAGAAAUCGCCUUGGGAGCGGGUGAUGGCACCUCUGGAAUUGCAAACCUUAAGAUCAAGGGCAUCAAGAAGGUUGUUUAUAUGAGAACCCUUCCCGUUUUGCUUUUGGAGGCUCCAGUGGGAAGAGAUGGCAUUGACGUCUCCAGCGAAUAUAAGGCGAGGAGGAGGUGGAGAGCCGAAGAGAGUGAUGAAGGAGUCUAUGAUGGGAGAAUAAGGAGCUUUGUGAGGAAAGUAGACAGAGCAGAUAGUGAGAUGGAAGCCUGGAAUAUCGAGAAUGGCCAGGGUGCGAUUGGUGGUAGAAAGGCGAGGAAGACCACAGGUAGGCUCUGGUUGAGAACCACGAUGCAGGUGCUGCACCUGUUCUGUGAGAUGGGAGCGUGAAGGAAAGAGGCGGAAGGGAUGGGGAAGGGAGAGGGGAGAAGGCCCUUGCGGACCGGCAGCUCUUGAAGUAGUAGGAUAUCAAUGUGAGAGGACUGCGUGGUUUGGAGGACAGAGAGGAAGCAGGGGAGGGAACGGUUGCAAUUUAGUUGCAGGAACCUGAUCAUGGGAUUCCAUGCGAAGUGAGGAAGGCCAACUCUUCCGCUUUAAUGAUCGGGCAGGCAAGGGAAUCCGCCGGGUGAUGAUUGUUAAUGCUGCACCGGAAGCAUCUAGGGGGAGAGGAGAUUGCUGUGCAGUCGUCGAUGGUGUGACCCUCCCCACAAUGCAAACACUUGGCCCGUUUUGUGCAGUUGUUGUGUUGGCGUAGGUCGCUGCAGGAGCAGCAAGGGUGUGUAGUUCUAGUCCGCUCGAACCUGAUGGAGCUGAACCCUAUGAAUAGGCGAGAGCGCGACUGGAGGUCUCUGGCUGUAGCGGUGUCUGUCUCUAUGAUUGCGUGUAAAUUGUUGUUGCGCGCGGCCAUUGUGCGGACUAGCCUACAGCCGGCGCCCACGGAAUGCUCAAGUAGUUUGGGAAGGUCGUCUGUUGGGAGAGAGUCAGGAAUGUUGAAAAGGGUAUAACGUGGUUUGAAUGUAGGGGGCAGGCGUACCUUGAUGUCUGUUCCCAGAAUACAUUUGGAACAAGUGCAUUUAGCGAAAUUGCAAUGUUGCUGUUACGUGUGCGGUGUAUGUUGGUGAUUGGUGUGGUGGACGUGGUAAGGGAGGAGAUGGAAAUAUUUCUGUAUAGGUUGGUGUCAAUGGGGGUGUUGAUGGAGGGGUCUUGGGUGAUUAGUAUAUGGAAGGGGUUGUUGCGGUUGGAGGGGGGUGUGGGGCGGUGGGAUGGGAUGUGUGUGGUGUGGCGGGGGAGAGGGGAUGGGGGGGGAGAGGGAGUAGCAGAAGGGGGAAGGGAGGCGGCUCUGGCAAAAGAGUCAGGAGUAGGAAGGAGAGGAGGAUUUGGGAUGGAGGGGGUGGGUGGGGGUUGAGGGAUGGGGGGAGAAGGAGGGAGAGGGUUAGAAGGUGAAGGAUGAGUAGUUUUAGGAGGAGGAAUGGAGGGGGUUAGCGUGGUAGUGGAAGAGACAGUGGGGUGGUGUGAGGGUGUUUGCGUAAGUAUGUGUGUCAGGGUGUUGGUGUUUUGGUCGACCUCUAUGAAGCGCUGGGUGUAUGUACGUGUGAGGUGUGCAAAUGUUUUGUCGAGGGUGGAUCUGAAAUGGUCGGCGAUUGCAGGAGUUAGAUGAUUGGAAAAAGGAGCUAGGAGGUGGUAGGCCCAGGAAAGAGGGAGGAAGUGGGAGUUGUUGUUGGUGGGGAAUAGGCUGCAUAUAUUUGGGGGGGAGUCAAUGAAAAAGUCGGAAUUGCGAGGGUGGUGUAGCCUGUAGGGAGUGUGGGUGGUGGUGGCAGGGGGAUGAGGAGGGGCAGGUUCACUCACCCCUGGUUGACCGUUGAGAGGGCCGCCGAUUGUGCAGUCCAGGUGACUGUCGAAGAUUCUGGAGCGUAGUUCAUCCCUGGAGGAGUCCGCAUUUGAAGUGGAGGUGCCGUCUUGGGGAGAGUUGGUGGAGUCCUCCCUGGAAGAAGAAGAGGUAUCUGGGGGGGGGGGGUGUAGUAUCCAGGAGGGGUGUGGGAGAGGGGGUUCUAUUAGGGGUGGAUCCUCGGCGGGUGGGGGAGCGGAGGACUGGUACGCUGGGGUGGACAGGUGAGUCGCUGGGCACGCGGCGGCGCGAGGUGGUGCCGUUGCCUGGGGAGGGGAGCUUGGAUUUCCGCGCGGCGGACGGAGAGACCGCGCUCCUCGGCGUUGAGGUGUCAAAUGGCCGCUUGCGGCCGCUCUGGAGAGCCCGCGUUUUCAUUGGCCGCGGGCGAGAAAAAUCCGGGGAGGAUGAAUGUCGUAUGGCGGCUGUUCAAGAGGUCCGGGGAAUAAAAAAAUAAUUUUUAUCCUCUUUCUGGUUUGAUGGAUUUGGGCUGGGCGCUGGGGAACAGGAGCACAGUAGCACAGGAGACCAGAAGCACUAUGAAAAGAAAUUCCUAUAUAGCCUCCUUGAAUAUACUGACACCACCAAAAAAAAGUGUGUGCCCUUACUUCAGGCAGUAUCCCUGUGCCUUACCACUGGUGGGGGGUCACUAGGGACUGGCAAGAAGCGAUCCUAAUUCAAGGGAAGCUUUUGACUCCAAGAGUAUCCAGAAUCCUUACCACUGGUGGGGGGAAUAACUGGACUCGUUGAAGUUAUCCGACGCUCGUUGGCGUGGAAGUGUUAAAUAGCCGAGUGCGGCCGCCCUGGAGAUCCCGCAUUUUGAUUGGCUGCGGGCGGAAAAAAUCCGGAGAGGAUAAAUGGCGUUUGGCGGCCGUCCAAGAGAUCCGGGGAAUUAAAUAAUUUUUAUUGUCGUCUGGUUUCUUGGUGAAUUGGGGCUGGGCGUCCAAGGAUGUAUCCUUGUAGGACCGCUGGGGAACCGGAGCACAGGAGCCCAUGGGCACUAUAGAGAAAUUCCUAUUUAGCUUCGGCAUAGGUGGGCAGGGAGAGGAUGUUUGCAAUUUUUGUUCAAGGAGAUGAGUGAGGAGGUUUGUGGAGUUGUUGGCCUCGAGGAUUCCCGCCGAUGGUAGGGUCGAGCAGGGAGUUGAACAUGCUCGGGUGGACAAGCUUUGCGUGUCUGAUAGAGGUGGGAAAUCUAUUAUAUAAUUUCUUAUAAAAUAUCUUUAACACGCUUCUAACAGGCUCACGAGCUUUUCUCCACGCCCUUUCAACUUUUUGAGUAGCCCUUUGGAGUGGAUUUAGUUCAGGUUUCCACCAAGUGGGUUUCUUAAAAAAUAUAUAUUGGUGGAAGGUUUAGAGGGAAUGGUUUGAAGACAGGAGUGAAACACCUCGUCUUCUAGUAAAAUUAAUUACUUCAUCAACUUGAGUUGUGUCACUCGCGUCCAGUAACUUCGCUAAAGUUGUUUACGUGUAUGUUGUUAUUGCUGUUAGAAGAGAGGGGUUCAAAAUUAACGUUAAACAUGAGGCGUUUAUGGUCAGAUAAAGCCUGGUUGAUUGCAUUCCAAUCGGCGAUCCCGUCCGCGAGGCCAGCAGAACAACACGUGACGUCGAUGGAGGAGGACCUCUCGCCCUCCUCCCACGUGAUCGUGCCGUGUUUGUUGACAACGUGGAGCAAGUUAGCGUCAAGGAAGUUUUCGACAAUUUCUCUUUUAGAGCAUUUGUAUUUAGCCACCGCGCUUUAUUUGACCAUCUAUAGGAUUCAAUAUUAAAGUCGCCGCAAAAAAUCACCUCGUGGGAAUUAAUUGUUUUUAAAGAGUUGUCUAUCCUAUCAAGAAGAGCAUCGGAACAACAUGAUGGUGAAAGAUAAACAGUACACAGAAGGAUUGACAAGUCAUUCACUUCACACAGGACAAAUACAGCAUUCACACAAGACAAGUGAGACAAGUAUGAAUUUUAAAUUCGGAUUUGCUAUUAUUACAGCCGCUCCCAAUUUAUUUUCAAUUAUUGGACCGUAGCAAACCCUGUCAAGGGGCACAGGUAAUGACAGUAAAUUGUUUUUGGAAACUGGGAGUUCUUGCAACAAUAGCACAACCGUUGGACUCAAAGUGGUGCGAGAGUCUAAGGGAGAGCAUGCUUUCGAGGCUUUUACCCAGGAUAGGGAGAAGUACGAUCGGACGGUUUUGAGAGGUGAAGUCCUUCGGCAUUAAAAUUCUUGGGGACCAGCACAACUCGGCCUACUUUCCAGAGCUUGGGGAAAUAGCGUAGAGAAAAGCAUUUGUUGAAGAGUUUGAAGAAAAAGGUGGAGAAGGAGGAAAGUAGCCAUUUGUCAAAUUGACCGGGCAUCAAGUCAGGACCAUGAGAUUUUUUAGGAUUGAGGGUCCGUAGAGCUAAAUGGAACUCGAGAAGAGAAAAGGGGAGAUCAGGUGAGGGAGGGGAGGAAGUGAGAUGGACGGGAAUUAGGAGGAGGCUCUGAAAAGUAGACGUCCAGGAUGUCCUUGAGGUUAGCAGGAAUGUUCUGUUGAGUAGAGAGGGUUUCAAACCUCCUUGAACAGAACGGGCUGCGCAGAGAGAACCCUCGAGAGACAAAGCAGUGGAUAGGACCCCAAGGAUUAUUGGUGAAUGAGGAGGUAAAUUCCCGGAAGUGCCUUCUCUUGGCCUUGAGGAUGGUCCUAUUGUAUUUGUUUCGGAGUCUUGCGUAACCCUCGCGGUAGCUGUCGCGGAGAGGAGGAGCCAUAGUUUUCAUCUUCCUACAGAGUCUCCUGGACAACGUUUUCAGUCUCUGGAGCUCAGAGUUACACCAGGGAAGGAGGGGAGAGGAACAGCAUCAAAUUGGUGCCGUUUUAUAAGGCGCCCCAAAGUCUAAACCUGGGUAGCUGAGAGCCAAUCAAAAUGGAGAGUUGAUGGCGACCGCUUUUGAACGAUUUGCUGACAUUGGCCACUUUUAUCUUUCUUUUUCUAUAUUAUUUUCAUUUUUUUUUUUACCCUGUGUAUUUUGGCUUUUAAUGUGUGAAAAUAAUAAAACCACAAGCUGCUCUUCAGUUUUCUCAGUAGGAAUCCCGAAUAUAGCAAGCCUUGGCUUGAAUAUAGGAUUCGUCUGGACUUUUAAGUCCAACAAUGUUGGCGGACUUGUCCACGAACCUCUUUAUUUUCAGAGGAGUUGGCGAAGUAGAAGACAGAUUUCUUGUCCCCCCCCCCAGUCACAGCGGCUACAUCAACAUUCCUUAAACAGGGAGUUUGGGUGAUUUUUGCCAAUUUCACUAACAGACAGCUCCGCAUGAUUAAUGCUGUUAUGCAGCAUAUGCACGUAACUUGGUCGUGUAGGUUUGGUUGGCUUAACACCAACAUUGGUUGGCUGGGUGACUUUUGUUACCACAGGGGCUGGUUUGGGUGGUGGUGCAGGUUUGGCAUUUUUAGCAGAGGCUGCUUAUUGCGCCCUAAUCACUAAAAUCGCCCUAAUUGCCACCUAGUCCUACACCAACUUCAUAUUGUAGGAUCUGCCUAAAGCUCCGGGUUUCGGGACAGGAGAGGGGGGUGUUGUCAAUUAGAAGAUGGGGAGGGUUGCAGAAAAUGGGUAGAACCAGGGACUUAUGGGGGGUGAGGGAGAGUUUGUUGUCAAGGCACCAGGAAUGGAUGAGGUCAAGAGAGGAUUGAGCGAGGGAAGGGAGACUAUUUACUUUUUAUUUUGCCAAUUUUAUUUGUCUUGAAAGGAAUAGUCUGUAUGCAUGAGUGAAACACUUCAUCUCUGAGUAUUGAAGGAAUAGAAGGCAAGCUGCCUUUAUCAACUAGGAGUUGUUGUAAUAAUAGCACAUCUGCUUUCUCAUUGGAACAUUCAUUCCACAAAGAGGAGAAACAAUAAGGAGUGUCUUACAUUGGCUUGAACACACCUGAGCAUGUUCAUUGCACCAUUAAUUUAUUGAAGUUCUCCUGGGCGUCCCGCAUGUGCUUACAUGCCAUUGAGUUAGCUCUGUUCCUGCCACCACACCUGUGGCAUUUCAGCACACCCUUGUUGUCACAGGCCUCGGACAGAUGUGCACCAGUGCAGUGGCCGCCCUGUUACACUUCUUACCGUUGGUGUGGGUCUUGUGACUAAGGCUGCCACAGACACCGCAAGGAAAGACGCGCUUAGCCCUUGCGAGUCUCAGGUAGAGGUAGUCUAUUGUAAUCCUACCGCACUCGAGUAGAGCAGUCUCAACUGCCUUAUUCACCUCUCCGAGGUAGAAGCGUCUCCUGGCGAAUGGAGGGGAUGGAGAUUUUCGUAUAUAGGUUGGUGUCGAUGGGGAUGUUGAUGGAGGGGUCUUGUGUUAUUAAUAUAUGGAAGGGGUUGUUGCGGUUGGAGGGGGGUGUGGGGCGGUGAGGUAGAAUGUGUGUGGUGUGUGGGGGGAGGGAGGUGGCUCUGGCAAAUGAGCCAGAAGUAGGUAGGAGAGGAUUUGGAAGCGGGAAGGAGGGGGUUGGGGGGGGGGGGGGGGGGGGGGGGGAGGGUGUGAGAGGAUUAAGAGGGGAAGGAUGAGGGGUUUUAGGAGAGGGGAUGGGAGGGUUUAGAGUGGAAGGUUAAGUGGGGCGGUGUGAGGGUGGAUGUGUUAGUAUGUGUGUGAGAAUGUUGUUUGUAUGGUUGGCCUCUAUGAGGCACUGGCUGUAUGUUUGUGUGAGGUGUGAGAAUGUUAUGUCGAGGGUAAUUUCAAAUUAGUCUGCGUUUAAGGGGGUGAGGAUACUGGCGAAUGGAGCAAGGAGUCUCAGAGAGGAGUAAUCAAUGGAAAAAUGCUCGAGCAGAGCAGCCUCGAUAUCUUUGUUUACCUCUAAUAUCGCUGUGGAGGGUGAACCCUCGUUCCUUAUCAGUUUAACAAUUCUACAAUCGGCGUCGUUUUUCAACAUUUUCUCGACAGCAGGAUGGCACCUAAUAUCAGCCGCAAGCUGCUCCUCGGUUUUCUCAGCUGGAACCCCAAAGAUAGUGGGCCUGGGCUAAAAUUAGGGUUCGACUGGACUUAAGACCGCCAAUGUUAGCGGUCUUAACCUUGUCAACAAACCUCUUUUUUCAAAGGGAUUAGUGAAGUGGAGGACCAGUUUUUUAUCCUAGCCCCAGUCACAGCAGCAACAUCCAAGUUCUUCAAACUGGGAGUCUGAGCAAUUUUUGCCCUUAGCUCCUUGACAGAAAGAUCGGCGGAAGCCAACUUAACAUGUUUGGCACUGUUACGCAGCAUCUGAGCUUAGCUGGGUCGUGAGGGCUUGGUCAGAUUAACACUGACACUAGCUGGCGGCGUGACUUUUGUCACUGGAGCGGAUUUGAGGCGACUUUUAGGUCGCAGGCCUUCAGUUUGUUGGCCAGAAUGUCAAACAAGGAGUGCUGCAGACUCGUCAACAUCCCGUUAAUUUUAUGGUACAUGACCCAGUAAGGUGAUGCACCCAUGUCCUUACCCAGGACCGUUCCUAUCUCCCCAUACACCAUAGUUAGACAUUCAGUGAAAUUGGUGCCUAUUUGUUCCCACCCUUCGCCGAAUGCCUGGUUGGAAUCAAGAGGCCUGAUGGGUGAAGUAGAGGGAGAGACCCGGGGAUACUCACCAGUGGGAGGGAUCUCGGGUUGAACAAGCCUGAUUCCAUGCCAAGAGGGGUCCAUUGUAUUAGCGUCGCUUUUUUUAUUAUUGCAUCUAGCCAGGGGGGUGUCCAUCAUGCCGUCGAGGGAUGAUCGGUGGAGCCUCGCUCGUAAGCUUUUAAAAUACUCAAAACAAAAUGACUCAUGUAGAACUUGAGCCAAAAAAAGGAAAAACUCCGCAGGUUGUGGGGAUGGGUGAUACAUGGGCACGGAAUGUGCUGGUUGACAGUCAAUAUGAACAAGUUGGUACAGAUGGGUACGAUGUGGAAGGGAUGACAGAAGUUUACAACAAUAUAUGUACAACAAACAAAAUGAGCAAGAUAAACAACAAGGGGGAAUGUGGGAACGUAUGACAGACUACGGGCUAUGGAUUACAAUAGGGAAAAAUCAUCAGACUGUGGAAUAUUUUCGGGCACAAACCUACCACAGUUGUUGCCGAAUUCACACUCAGAAUGCCAAAGAACACUGGAGUCGGCGAACUCAGAGAGGGUGGUUGGAAUUUAAAUCUCUCUUCAGAAACUGGCUUGUUAGAAUAAGCUUCCUUUGCUCGUCCAAGUUUUCAACAGAAUCUCUUCUGGAAAAGAUAAAUUUAAGCAAACCGUGCUUUAUUUGACCAACUGUCAAAAAAUUACCUCGUGGAAAUUGAUUGAUUUUAAAGAGAGGUCUAUCUUGUCAAGAAGGGCGUCAGGACAACAUGAUGGCGAAAGAUAAACAGUAAACAGAGGGAUUGACAUGUCAUUCACUUCACAUAGAACAUUCACACACGACAAAUGUUCAUCACCUGUUUUCUCCAGACUUUCCCCACAUUAUAGUUGAGCCCUACCUGAAGCACAGUGGUUGUACCUGAAGGUCAUCAGUAUCUCUUCAGUUAUUUCUUCUCAUUUAAAUUAGGAUUAACAAAUUGUGCAACAUUUGUUCUGAGCUAUUUCUUGUAUACAAAUAAAAUGUCAUUUGUGAUCAUCUAUAAAUUUUGUUCACAGAAAUUGCUUCCCCCAAUGAAUCUUGUCAGGGGAAAAUUUGUAGCUUUCACCAGAAUUUUUAUUACUACUUCUAGUGUUUUUCUAUUGAAAUUUCUUAGUCCUCCAAGUAUUAAUGCCUUUUAUAUUUUUGAGUAUUUUAUAAAAGCCUUAGAGAUUGAAUUGUCCUCUUAUUUUAUUUCCUUUUGGCCCCAUAAGAGCUAUCCAGAUUAUUAAAUGUUAAUGUGAUAAAUUGUUGUGGUUUACAAUACAUACAUUAUCCCAUAGUAUCAUUAAGAGGAGCCUAUCAUGGUAGAAUUUGUUGUGGGUCCUGUUCUAGUCUGGUGGCUUCCAUGCAUGUCUACCCACCCAUAUAGUGGAUGUACUUUGACACAAUAGUAAUCAUGGGCCAGGUUUGUGGUGGUUGGAAUGUCGCCAGGACUUCGCAGUGUGACCUCUAUAUUGUCGCUGGAUUAGAUUUCUUUCUCGGGGACCAUGCUGACCCAACUAAUUCAAGUCUGGAAACCAUAGCCUUUAAUUGAUGCAAUUAUGUGGUUAUUUAAUUGAAUUUUCUCUUUUAACACUUUGCUAUAUAGAUUUUUUUUUUCUAAAAGUAUUUUGAAACAUAACAAACAAAAAGACAGUAUACAAAACAUAAACAAAAAGUUUUUAUUUAUAAUGUUUGGAUUAUCAGUAAGGUUGACCCAAAUAGGUACUGUAAAUAAUGUCAUUAUGAUACCAGACACUUGUUAGAUUAUGACAAUGGAAUUGUGUUAACAUAUAUUUAUGAUCUGUUUAUAGUGGCCUCUUUAGUUGAUUAGCUAGCUAUGCAAAUUUACUUACUUAUUUCUUUGUAAUUAUGUAAAUAAUGUCAUUAUGAUAUCAGACACUUGUUAGAUUAUGACAAUGGAAUUGUUAACAUAUAUUUAUGAGGGGUAUAUAGUGGCCUCUCUAGUUGAUUAGCUAGCUAUGCAAAUUUACUUACUUAUUUCCUUGUAAUUGUGUAAAUAAUGCCAUUAUGAUACCAGACACUUGUUAGAUUAUGACAAUGGAAUUGUUAACAUAUAUUUAUGAUGUGUAUUUGUUGGCUCUCUAGUUGAUUAGCUAGCUAUGCAAAUUUACGUACUUAUUUCUUUGUAAUUAUGUAAAUAAUUUCACGCUUCAUAUAUG